rnacentral:rRNA from 1 species
CAGUAACACGUAGUCAAUCUAACCUAUGGACGAGGAUAACCUCGGGAAACUGAGAAUAAUACUCGAUAGAUCAUUAUGCCUGGAACGGCUUAUGGUUCAAAUGAAUUUCGCCAUAGGAUGGGACUGCGGUCUAUCAGCUUGUUGGUGAGGUAAUGGCCCACCAAGGCUAUUACAGAUACGGGCUCUGAGAGGAGAAGCCCGGAGAUGGGUACUGAGACACGGACCCAGGCCCUAUGGGGCGCAGCAGGCGAGAAAACUUUGCGAUGUGCGAAAGCACGACAAGGUUAAUCCGAGUGAUUCCUGCUAAAGGAAUCUUUUGUUAGUCAUAAUACCACUAAUGAAUAAGGGGUGGGCAAGUUCUGGUGUCAGCCGCCGCGGUAAAACCAGCACCUCAAGUGGUCAGGAUGAUUAUUGGGCCUAAAGCAUCCGUAGCCGGCUUUGUUAGUUUUCGGUUAAAUCUAUAUGCUCAACAUAUAGGCUGCCGGGAAUACUGCAAAGCUAGGGAGUGCGAGAGGUAGACGGUACUCCGUAGGAAGGGGUAAAAUCCUUUGAUCUAUGGAUGACCACCUGUGGCGAAGGCGGUCUACCAGAACACGUCCGACGGUGAGGGAUGAAAGCUGGGGGAAGCAAACCGGAUUAGAUACCCGGGUAGUCCCAGCUGUAAACUAUGCAAACUCAGUGAUGCAUUGGCUUGUGGCCAGUGCAGUGCCGCAGGGAAGCCGUUAAGUUUGCCGCCUGGGAAGUACGUACUGCAAGUAUGAAACUUAAAGGAAUUGGCGGGGGAGCACCACAAGGGGUGAAGCCUGCGGUUCAAUUGGAGUCAACGCCAGAAAUCUUACCCGGAGAGACAGCAGGAUGAAGGUCAAGCUGAAGACUUUACCAGACAAGCUGAGAAGUGGUGCAUGGCCGUCGCCAGCUCGUGCCGUGAGAUGUCCUGUUAAGUCAGGUAACGAGCGAGAUCCUUGCCUCUAGUUGCCACCAUUACUCUCAGGAGUAGUGGGGCGAAUUAGCGGGACUGCCGUAGUUAAUACGGAGGAAGGAGAGGGCCACGGCAGGUCAGUAUGCCCUGAAACUCUGGGGCCACACGCGGGCUGCAAUGGUAGUGACAAUGGGUUCCGAAUCCGAAAGGAGGAGGUAAUCCUCAAACGCUACCACAGUUAUGACUGAGGGCUACAACUCGCCCUCACGAAUAUGGAAUCCCUAGUAACUGCGUGUCAUUACCGCGCGGUG